rnacentral:snRNA from 1 species
GUAUUUUCUCUUUAGAAGUUGAGUAUCUGUUCUUGCCAGUUUAAUAUCUGAUAGGUCCUCUAUCUGAGGACAAUAUAUUAAAGGGAUUUUUGGAGCUGGGAGAUGGGAUAGGAGUUUGCUCUGUCCACUCCGUGUAUUGACCUGGUGUUGCAGUAUAUGCAGAGGUUGAUUAUCUUAG